rnacentral:piRNA from 1 species
UAAAAAAUUCUGUACACAAAGGGACA